GGCAAAGGCUACCACCAAAAAAUGUUUACUACUAUCGCUGCCCAGACCACAGGAAGAAUUAUGUGAUGUCCUUUGCAUUCUGUUUCGACAGAGAAGAUGAUAUUUACCAGUUUGCUUAUUGCUACCCAUAUACAUAUACUCGCUUCCAGCACUACCUCGACAGCCUACAAAAGAAAAACAUGGACUACUUCUUCCGGGAACAGCUUGGACAGAGUGUGCAACAGAGGCAGCUUGACCUCCUGACGAUAACCAGCCCGGGUCACCUUGUCCCUCAUCCCACAGGAAGCAGCCCCACUGGCUGCCCCCUGCUUCUAGACCAGUAACCUGAGAAGUACUCACCCUGCUGCAUUUAUGGUUUUCUCAGAGGAUAGGAUACAUCUCUCACGAUGGAGCAGAAUGGUGUGGCUACUACUUCUUCAUAUGUUAUCAAAUAUAUCCAACAUUCAAUAUGAUAAAAAUAAAAGAAUUUAUUAAAGCAUG
rnacentral:lncRNA from 1 species